GGGACUAUAGUUUAAUGGUAGAAUAGCUGCCUUCCAUUCAGUUAGCAGCUGGCGUGGGUUCGAUUCCCGCUGGUCUCA